rnacentral:lncRNA from 1 species
UGUAAGACAGAGCACUAUUACCCAUACAACAACAAAGGAUCAAAGAACUUUCUGUGCAUGUGCUGGUCAUGCAAGGACCUUCAGCUCACUAGGCCAUAGUAGAGCAGAUCCUUUUCCCUGCUCGUUGAACUAAAAAAAGCACCAAGGCCAUGAGAUUAGUUUCGGUGUUUGCGUGCUUUUUAGAUGGAUUUUUAAGCCAAAGCUAGCAUCUUCAUUCUAGAUCUUGAUAACUAUAUUGUUCGGUUUGUGGUCCC